rnacentral:tRNA from 1 species
GUUCUUGUAGUUAAAUUUUGUAACGACGGCUUUUCAGGCCGUAGAUUUCGGAGAGAGGCCGAGCGAGAACU